rnacentral:rRNA from 1 species
AUGAAAUUAUGCUUAUUAGCCUCCUGGGUAAAGAGAUAUUUUGUAGAUCAGGGCAAGAUUUGGAAACAAAUCAUUGAUGCCAAGUACAACACUCUUAACCCUAAUAUCUUUGCUUAUUCUAGCCUUGGUGCUUCCCCUUUUUGGAAAGGUAUUCUAUGGGCGGCCAAAGCUGCAAACAUAGGAUAUACCUGGAUAAUAGGGGAUGGUAAAAACACCAGGUUUUGGAGAGAUCGUUGGAUAGGGCAUACCACCCUAGCCACGAAGUAUUGGGAUCUAUAUAAGAUUGCCAAUGAUCAGAACAUCACUGUUUGUGAUGCCUGGGAUGGUACUAAUCUGAAAAUCACUUUCAGAAGAUGUUUUUCUCGUGAUAUGGUAGAUGAGUGGAAUGCUCUAUUUAAUGAUGUCAAAAAUACUGUCCUGAUGGACAAGAGAGACACUGUUCGCUGGGACUUUAACACUAAAGGUGUUUACAGUGUCAAGUCCUUCUAUGACAUUAUAAACUUUAGAGGAGUCUCCCCCGGGAACAGUAUAUCUAUCUGGAAUAUCAAAGUCCCGCUCCGCAUUCAUAUUUUCCUUUGGCUUAUGACUAAUAACAAGCUGUUGACUAGAGAUAAUCUGCAGAAAAGACAAACAGUAGAUAAUGCGUCCUGUCUUUUCUGCAAUGAUCCUGAAUCUAUAGAUCAUUUAUUUUUCAGCGGUGUGGUCUCGACGGAGCUCUGGAGAGUGAUUGGGGACUUUUACAAUAAUCAUCCCAGGAUGUCUAUGAAUGACAUGCUUGAAUGGUGGUCCCAUAAUAAAAAUCACCCGGCUGAAUGUUUAUUGCACUCCGCUGUUUUGUGGGCUCCAUGGAAACAACGUAAUGAUAUGUGCUUCAAUUAUACUCCCUGGUCUGGGAUGCAGGUGUUGUGGAGGAAGAUAGCUGCUACCUUAGACAGCUGGGCGGUACGUUGCUCAGAUCCUGUCAAAACCAAAGUGCUGAGUAUGGUGCGGAAGCUGGAACAGAUGGCAAGGUCCCCACCCCUCCUACUAUGGCCGGACCCUGGCUAG